CUUUCCAGACCAAAUCAAACUACAUCAUUCAUCCUCAAUGGAUAUCUGAGGCCAAAACAAACAGACAGCCGGAACCUCUGGUUAGACGUCCUUGGCCUUGGGAGCAGCCUCGAUUUAAAACAGAUUACCAGAUGUUUGUGAACAGCGAGAAAGUUAUCUCAUCGUCGGGCGGGCCAAGGGAGCGAAACGAAAUUUCAAACUAUCGUCAGAGAGUACCUGAUGUUAGCUCCCCUGCAAGCCCACCCUAUUUUGUGAGGAACCCUUUGAUGAAUGAGAGAAUUCAAACUAACGUGACAUUUUAUUUCUAAGGCUAUCUAGUACACUCCUUUUUAGAUUAAAAAAUAUGCUUCAAUAAA
rnacentral:sRNA from 1 species